GCGCGAGGCACAGCGGGACCGUCUGGGACAACGACAGGCGGGCACGACCGGCCACGCGGCUUCGGAAUUGGGAGUCCCGCAGGAGAGCAGUCACGUACUGAGUGAGGACAGAUCAUGUUGAUAAAAUGCUGGAGAUUUCGUCGUCCGCUUCCCCAAAUUCUCCCCGCCCCCGGAUUCCCUGCGUGCCCCCCUCCCUCACUGAACUGCCUGUUCGUUGGCUGUGCUGCCCGAGUCCUGUGGCUUCAUGACGUCCGGGAGCUCCGGGGGGGUAGAGAAGGGCUCCAUCCUCAGCUGCUCGAAUGAAUCAUCUGCGGGGAAGACAAGUCGGGAAUUUGAGACCGCCACACACACACACACACACACAAUCUUCCAUGACAGAAUAAAAAAUUUAAAAAAAGUUAGUUUUACCGCUGAGCCUGAAAGCUAAGCCCACGGUGCCGGGCGACUGAGGCCGCGCCGUCUGGUUGGUGAAGCCACAGUUUCCGAGCGUCUGAGUGUCAUCCAGUUCCAUGUCAUCCUGAACACCACCACAAAUCAAGUCACUGGAGCAGUAAGUUUGUGAAUAAAGCCCCAGUGGAAAAGGUACAGUGGUGCCUUGAUUUAGAAGUUUAAAUCGUUCCGUGGCUACGCUCGUAACUUAAAUCGCCCCUAUCUCAAAUCAAGUUUCCCCAUUGAAAUGAAUGGAAAUGCCCCAAAAAUCACAACCCAAGAUCUGUGAAAAUUCUUUUAAAUGUGAAAAAUAGCAUGUUACAGUUUUGUACUUUAUAAAAACACAGUAAUUUUAUAAAAACAUACAGUAAUUAAAAACACAGUCAUAAUUAGGAGUGGGGGUCUUUUUAUCGACACCACUUCCGCUUCAGCGGCACUCGGCAAAGCGGUGUUUACCCAGAAGUGUCUGCCCAUCUUCGUUUUUGUGAGAUAAUGUGCGAUCACGUGAGAUUUCAAAUUCAGCGACCGCAGAAUCCUUGUGUGUGGUGUUGAGAUUAGACGAACAAACUGUUAAAUGUCAGAUUUUUUUAUUUUUGUGUAGGGUCUGUCACAGGUUAAAAAAAAAAAGGCUUUAAAGAUUUGAAAAAUCCUUGUGUCCAGGCCUAUGCUACAAUAAUAUGUCAUUUUUUGCAGAGGAUAAAGAAUAUAUGCCUGUCAGUACUGUUGAAUGCUACAGCUUAUGUUCAAAUUUAUGUUGUUUAAAGGGUUAUAACUACCACACCAAUUAUGCUAGUUUUGCCUGUAUGGCAUUUUGCAUUGCAUGUUAGCAUUAAGCUAGCAGAGUUUCGUAAGACAAAAAAUAUGGUUUGGUUAAAUACACAAUAUGUAAUUAUUUUUAUGUUUAGUUUUAAAGUAAACUUCCACACAGCUUGAA